UGAUCUUCUGCCUGAGCUGCCGCACAUAGACGCGCAGAUACUGCGCGUCGGUCAGUUCGUCCCACAAUUCGUGCAGAAGAAACUUGUGGGUGAGCACCUUGCCGGCAUGCUGAACCAGCACGCGCAACAGAUCAUACUCUUUCGGCGACAGCUUGAUGUCCCUGUCGCCGACCUUGACGAUGCGCCGGACCAGAUCGACCGACAGAUCGCCGGUGCGGAAAACCGGACGCUCGCCAUGAACCUGCAAUUGAUGACGCAGUGCCGCCCUGAUGCGCGCGAGCAGUUCAUCCAUGCCGAACGGCUUGGUGACAUAAUCGUCGGCGCCGAGAUCGAGCGCCUGAACCUUGCCGGCCUCGUCGCCCCGGCUGGACAGAACAACAAUCGGCACGCUUUCGUUGCGCGCACGGAUCAUGCGCAGAAGAUCAUGGCCCUGAAUGUCGGGCAGGCCGAGAUCGAGGAUCACGAGGUCCGGCUUGUUGUCCAAUAGCUCAAGCGCGGUCUUGCCGUUCGGCGCGUCG
rnacentral:misc_RNA from 1 species